rnacentral:lncRNA from 1 species
GAUUCCAAUUAUUAUUUGUGUUUCAGCAACAAUCUGCUCUCUGGAAAUUGCUGCAAUGCUUGUCAAAAGUCACUGUUUUAUCCUAUAAUUUUCUACAAGGAGCUGGCAAGAAGAACACAGUGGAGGCCAAGCCAGCAGCAGUCCUCCUGAACUUCAGGCUGGAUUCAUUUAGUGGAUUGGAACUCCUAGGGUUGAAUAUAGUUAAGUGACCUCUACAAAAACUUCCUCUUUGAAGUGUUCUCUGAAGAGAUCUUCAAGGCAUCUGAGUGCCUCAGAUUGUGAUUUUGUAAGGUUUUGAUGCUAGAAAAUUGUUUAACAAACAGCUCCAAAAUAUUGAGAUUUUGAUUAAUAACAUACAGUGUCAUGGUAUUUAAAUAAUAAAAAGUUUGAAAUCUAACA